GUAAAAGUGGGGCCUUAGAAGACAGAAAUGGCUAAAGAUAACGUGGCCUGAAAGCAGCAGACUGAAUUUAGCAAAUCACAGAAGUAGGGUGGUCACUGGGGAGAUGACUCAGCAAAUUCCCUGACCUAAGGAUGAGACCAGACGUGUUUGGUCGGCCCUUCCCCCUGGCCGAGCGGGAGAGGCGCUGGUGGAGCUGAUGGGCUGACGGCAGUGGGAAUCCUGAUCUCAAGCCCUCAUUUGACUGCAGGCCAAGCGUUUCAAACAGCAGGCCUUUCAUAGCCGGGAAAACCCCUGCUAGACCUGCUGGACACGCCACACAACCACAUACAGCUCAGCUCAUGUCAACAGAACUGAUAACCAAAUGGGGCUCCUUGGCGUCCCGUCCCCGGCAGCCUUGCCAACCCGCUACCCUCCGGGUCCCAAUUAACACGCGGCUGCACUAGAACCAGGAGGCGGGAGCUGAGGGUUUGUUUACCACAUAGUUAACAGGCAAACACAACUUAAUCACAAGGAAAACAGCUUUUAUGAGAAUCAUCUUGAAGUCCUUCAACGGUCCUAGUAAACCAUCCAGGAAGCCAAUACCUAGAGUUCCCUCUGAUGUCGUUACUGUUGGAGGGGAGGCCAGUAUGGUUUUGCUUUUUGACCAUUUACAGCCGCCAGGCUAAGCGAUGUCUCUCCCCGUUCUGAAGACCUCUCUGGGUCAUCACCCUACGUGAUCCUUCUGUGAUCGGCUGCACUUUGGAAAGAAAUGGACUUUGGAAAGAGAUACGAGGUCGGGAAAAAAAAAAUCUGUCUUUUAAUCUAAACCCCCCGAACACCAGGCAAUUUUCACACACUCUCUCCAUCUUCAUUCCAUCACUGGGUAGAGGACCCCUGCGUUACCUCCUUUUACAGAGAAAACCAAGGCUCUCGAGGUCCAGAUGCAAAGGUAAUGUGAGGAGAGGUUUGCUGAGGCUUCUAGGAAAGUUCUUCUGGGAGAAUUGGAAUUUCAGCCCAGGUUGGAAGAAUUCAUCAUCUCCUAAACUGUGUGAUCUAUACCUACUGAAGUUUUGUACAAAGGUUUAAAUCAUCUUCCCAUCUACAGAGCUGAGACUGCUACAGACUAAACAGAGUUUAAUCUGGGCAUUGCCAAAUUACAACAUCAGUUGAAUUAGCAACUUUACCAGGUCUUUUAUUUAAUAAUAAAGAUGUGCUUUGGGAAAGAAUGGCAUCCAGAGGUCUGAAAGGAGAAUUCAGGAGCAAAAAAGAUUUUGCAGAUGCGAUUAAGGUUAAGGACCUUGAGAUGAAGAGAUGAUUAUGGAUUAUCCAGGUGGGUUCAAUCAAAUCACAGGAACCCUUAAAAGAGAAGAACCUUUCCCAGCUUGUGGUCAGAGGGAGACAUGACCAUGGAAGAAAGGUCAAAGAGAGAUGGAACAGUGCUGACUUUGAAGAUGGAGGAAGAGGACCACAAACUAAAGAAUGUAGGCGGCCUCUAGAAACUGAAAAAAGCAAGAAAACAAUUUUUUCCCCAGGGCUACUAGAAGAGAAUGCAGCCCUGCUGACACCUUGAUUUUACCUCAGUGAGACCCAUGUCAAACUUCCCUCCUACAGAACUGUAAGAUAAUAAAUUUGUG